rnacentral:rRNA from 1 species
GAUGAACGUUGGCGGCGUGCCUAAUACAUGCAAGUCGAACGAAGACUGUAGUAAUACUGUCUUAGUGGCGAACGGGUGAGUAACGCGUGGGUGACCUGCCCCGAAGUGUGGGAUAACAGUUCGAAAGAACUGCUAAUACCGCAUAACAUCCAAGAGAUUAGAAGCUUUUGGAUUAAAGGAGUAAUUCGCUUCGGGAGGGGCCCGCGUCCCAUCAGCUAGUUGGUAAGGUAAUGGCUUACCAAGGCGAUGACGGGUAGGGGACCUGAGAGGGUGGCCCCCCACAAUGGAACUGAAACACGGUCCAUACACCUACGGGUGGCAGCAGUAGGGAAUAUUAGUAAUGGGCGAAAGCCUGAACUAGCAACGCCGCGUGUGCGAAGAAGGCCUUCGGGUUGUAAAGCACUUUUUGAGAGGAUGAGGAAGGACGGUACUCUCAGAAUAAGUCUCGGCUAACUACGUG